rnacentral:rRNA from 1 species
CAGCCGCCGCGGUAAAACGUAGGGCGCAAGCGUUGUCCGGAAUUAUUGGGCGUAAAGAGCUCGUAGGCGGUCUGUCGCGUCUGGUGUGAAAUCCCGAGGCUCAACCUCGGGCUUGCAUCGGGUACGGGCAGACUAGAGUGCGGUAGGGGAGACUGGAAUUCCUGGUGUAGCGGUGGAAUGCGCAGAUAUCAGGAGGAACACCGAUGGCGAAGGCAGGUCUCUGGGCCGCAACUGACGCUGAGGAGCGAAAGCAUGGGGAGCAAACAGGAUUAGAUACCCCUGUAGUCCCUGUCUCUUAUAC